rnacentral:rRNA from 1 species
GAUGAACGCUAGCGGCAGGCUUAACACAUGCAAGUCGAGGGGUAUAGUAGCAAUACUAGAGACCGGCGCACGGGUGCGUAACGCGUAUGCAACCUACCUUGAACAGGGGGAUAGCCCAGAGAAAUUUGGAUUAAUACCCCAUGGUAUAUUGAUGAGACAUCACAUUAUUAUUAAAGUUCCAACGGUUCAAGAUGGGCAUGCGUCCCAUUAGCUAGAUGGUAAGGUAACGGCUUACCAUGGCGACGAUGGGUAGGGGUCCUGAGAGGGAGAUCCCCCACACUGGUACUGAGACACGGACCAGACUCCUACGGGAGGCAGCAGUGAGGAAUAUUGGUCAAUGGGCGCAAGCCUGAACCAGCCAUCCCGCGUGAAGGAUGAAGGUCCUAUGGAUUGUAAACUUCUUUUAUACACCAAGAAAAAUCCCCACGAGUGGGGACCCGACGGUAGUGUAUGAAUAAGCAUCGG